rnacentral:rRNA from 1 species
AUUGAACGCUGGCGGAAUGCUUUACACAUGCAAGUCGAACGGUAGAGGGGGCAACCCCUCGAGAGUGGCGAACGGGUGAGUAAUAUAUCGGAACGUGCCCAGUCGUGGGGGAUAACGUAGCGAAAGUUACGCUAAUACCGCAUACGAUCUAAGGAUGAAAGCGGGGGAUCGCAAGACCUCACGCGAUUGGAGCGGCCGAUAUCAGAUUAGGUAGUUGGUGGGGUAAAGGCUCACCAAGCCAACGAUCUGUAGCUGGUCUGAGAGGACGACCAGCCACACGGGAACUGAGACACGGUCCAGACUCCUACGGGAGGCAGCAGUGGGGAAUUUUGGACAAUGGACGCAAGUCUGAUCCAGCCAUUCCGCGUGCAGGAUGAAGGCCCUCGGGUUGUAAACUGCUUUUGUACGGAACGUAAAGGUCUCUCUUAAUACGGGGGACUCAUGACGGUACCGUAAGAAUAAGCACCGGCUAACUACGUGCCAGCCGCCGCGGUAAGAC